GCGAGCGGCGGACGGGUGAGUAUGCUGGGAAAUUGCCCAGUCGAGGGGGAUAACAGUUGGAAACGACUGCUAAUACCCCAUACGCCCUACGGGGGAAAGCAGGGGACCUUCGGGCCUUGCGCGAUUAGAUAUGCCCAGGUGGGAUUAGCUAGUUGGUGAGGUAAUGGCUCACCAAGGCGACGAUCCCUAGCUGGUCUGAGAGGAUGAUCAGCACACUGGAACUGAGACACGGUCCAGACUCCUACGGGAGGCAGCAGUGGGGAAUAUUGCACAAUGGGGGAAACCCUGAUGCAGCCAUGCCGCGUGUGUGAACGAAGGCCUUCGGGUUGUAAAGCACUUUCAGCGAGGAGGACAAGGUUGUGGCUUAAUACCAAAAGCUGUGACGUUACUCGCAGAAGAACGCCACCUGGCUAAGUCCGUAGACAUGCCAUGCCGCGGGNAAAUCACCGGAGGGUUGCANAGCGUCUCAANCGGGAAUUACACUGGGCNGUUAAGGCGCAAUGCCAGGUGCGGUCUUUGAGAAUAACAGACUUCGAACGCGAACCUGGCUUGGAAAAAGGCCCCCACCCAGGAGUGGGAGANUAUCACCCAAACCACCCC
rnacentral:rRNA from 1 species